AAUCCGAAGCUGCUGGAAAUCAACAUGCAAUUUAGCCGCAAUUAGGAGAAACAAUCAAAAGGGUGGGAUUUUUCACUCAUGCCACAUAUCAACUUCUUCUGUCAAUAUUGCUUAUUUAAACAAAUUUGGAAAAAAUAGAGGUGAUUAAAACACACAGAGCUCCCAAAUCAUCAGGACAAGUUAUAAACGGGAUACAUCUCCUGAACUACAUCUUCACCACCAUAAUUAUUUUACUCUCCAAAUUGUUUUUUUUCCAAACGCCACUGACAAUCAGUGCCAAAUUAAGGACAGUAUAGUACGCGCUGGACCAAUGCAAUUCAGUUUAUAUCAGCUUCGAACAAAGAAUCUUUCACCCCUUCAACAUGGAUAUAGACCCAGCUCCCAAAGAUGAGGCAAACCUGAGCUAGAAGAUCUGCAUCGCAGUCACCCACAGUGACCAACUACACGCUCUUCACAACAAAAAGACAUUAAUGAAAAGGAUAUUUCCACUUGGUGAUGCGGCCCACCUCUCCCGACAUGAAUGUGAGGUAGCGGAGGGUUUCAAUACCAACAUUUGUGUGCAUCACUUUCCUCAGUCCUUCUCGCUGCCAGAUGUACAUCGCCACUACUGGUGAUGCGUAAUUCUGAAUCCAGAGAAUGUCACCUGAUUCGCUGUCUACUGUCACCACCAGGCCAUCUCCAUUCGACACAAAGUGGAGCAUUUCUGCAAGUAGGUGGUUAGAAUUGGUACAUACAAAGCAUUUCACUGCGCUAAAAGCAUGGUGGCAGAAUGUUCAGCUUCUACUACUGACACUACUGGGGACAAUGGAGCUACACAAAAAUGGCGUAUCAGGAAUGUACAAUCUUCUGGAGUUGAAGGGCUGGGUACAUGCGGUAAAACAGCGACUGGACUACAUAUGGUUACUCAGAAUCAUGACCCCCACCUCCCACCCCACUCCCCCAAACCACUCCACAAUGCAAAUAUGUCAAGGUCCCCCAUCCUGUUUUGCCCUGACCCACUUUCCAUCCUCCUCCUCUGCUACACACUGCAGGAUUAGUCAAGAUUAAUUUCAGACAGGGCUUCACUGAGGAUAAAAGGAGCUCUUUAAGCAGUGGUAGUGAAAGAAUGAUGCCCACUCCAAUGUACACAGGGUCUGGCUACCUAGUGAAUACAGCAUUGAACAAGCAAAUGAGAGAUUGGGUGUGCUAAUCCCUCCAAGGCGAGCUGUAAAACUGAAUUAAAUAAAAAUGCUAAUUUAUGGGCUAACGCUUGAAAAAUAGCCUUCAAAACUGGUAGUUACUAAAAAACAAACAUAUCCAAAAGGCUUACUAAUGCCCUUCAGGGAAGGGAGUUUCAGGAUUUGUUGUAAUGUUCUUUUUCAUUAAAUAAACAAGCACACAUUAUACACGUGCGCAAAUGAAUUGUGAAUUCAGUUGCUUGAAAAAUUAAUUAGCUCUUCCUGGCCUGGGCCUGCACACGACACCUAAUCCUCACCACUAGAGGAGUCAAUGCCCUCAAGGCAGCAAGUGAUGGGCAAUAAGUAUGGCCUCACUAGUGUGACUCACAUCCAAGGGGCAAACUCUUAAAAAUUUAAAAGCCAAAACAAACAAUAACUUUUCCAAACUGCAGAGUGAUACUUGUGUUUAUCAAUAAAAAUAGUCAAUUUAGGUACAAUACAAGCGCUGAAGUGACCACGUGGCUGUAUAGUUAUUUUUUAUCUGCUAUUGCCUGGCAAAACUUUCAAAAUGCACCAGUAGCUGCCUCUGCAGAGACAGCAGAACCAGAAACUGUUCAGCUCCAAGCAUCCUUACUGUAUUCAGUGCCUUCGUCGGGUAAGGUGGCAGAGUAAUCGAAGUAGGUGGCAUUCCAUCGCAGCUCCCGGUUCUUGGUGUCAUACAUGGUGAUUGUGUACUCUGAAAACAGAAGAGCAUGUCAGCACAAAGGAGCUAUUCGAGACCCAGGCACAAAAGGAACAAAAAAAUAGUUCAAAAUGAGCACCACCCUUAAGAGAAGCUUGAACAGUCUCUUUGAAAAUAGCAGCACAAUGAGAGUGGGUCUUUAUGCACAAUCUUCUACAAAACUUGGCAAAGAAAUAACAUACAGGAGACACUGGUCUGUACAUAAGUUACUGAAAAUGAAGUUCACAGACCAUUUCAAUCAGUGAUUUAUGGACUGAGACAAUACACAGUAAAGCAGAAUGACCUGGAACAAGGGGUGAUGAUCAUAUUGAACUCUGCAUGGAGAGAGGAUGAUGUGUUUUGUUGUCAAGGGGACAGAGGCCCAGAUCAAAAAUCAUAGGAAGUCAACUGCCAGUUUCCACACAUUGACAAAAGAGGGAUAGCUGGUCAUAGACUCUCAGACGCAGACAGAGAGAGAGACCUGGAGAGGAAAAACAAAAAACCGCUGCUGCUGUGCCAAGUACAGGAAAAGACAGUUUCGGCAUCAAUUGCUAAGCAGAACACUGGUGAGAACAGAUUCCCUGUUUGAAGUGAGGAGACUUGCAGAGGUUUACAAACUAAGGAGACACCAGAGGAUACCUUGCUGCUGGAAGUCAAUUCAAUGAUAGGAGACUGAGUGAAGGGACUUUUAAAAGGAAGACUUGCCCAAGUGCAGCAGGGAGAAGGAAUCCUGUUAGAAAGCCUGGAGGAGAUUGGAACUUUAUCUACAAGGCUACGUAUCAGCUGAGAGUGCCAUAACGUAUAAACAUGGCCUGGGGUUUUCAGCUGUGUUAAUUAGUCAAUGGGGAAAGUACCUUUUCUGUAAUUUUGUUGCCUAAGUAAUGUUUUGUCAAUGUUGAUUUUAACUUAUUUGUUACAGUAAGUCUUAAAACACGAGAUCUCGUGGUGUGUUCUCUCAGUUGGUCACUGGGAAAUUUGUUUCUCUUUUUAAAUGUUAUCAGUCUCUACAGAGAUUGUAACAUGUUGCACAAAAGGCAAUGUUUAAGUUGGCAUGUUGGUGUGACUUUAACUACAUGUUGGCUAUGUGGAGAAAGCCAAUUGAAGGCUAGGGAUUUUUUUUUAUAAACUCAUUUUUUUAAUGCAAAUUCAUAAUCUGUCAAUCUCCAGAAUAACCAGUUCCAUAAACAGCACAUUUUCCGGCUAAUAAAAAAUCUUGCUCAACAAACAUAUAAACUGUACAUUGGGACAGUUCCAGCAUUUGAAACUGAAUAAUAAACAAUUAUUAUUA